rnacentral:SRP_RNA from 1 species
GCUGGGUGCAGUGGCGCGUGCCUGUAGUCCCAGCUACUCGGGAGGCUGAGGCUAGAGGAUCUCUUGAGCCCAGGAGUUCUGGGCUGUAGUGUGCUAUGCCAAUCCGCUGUCCGCACUAAGUUUGGCAUCAAUAUGGUGACCUCCCGGGAGCGGGGGACCACCAGGUUGCCUAAGGAGGGGUGAACCGGCCCAGGUCAGAAACGGAGCAGGUCAAAACUCCCGUGCUGAUCAGUAGUGGGAUCGAGCCUGUGAAUAGGCACUGCACUCCAGCCUGGGCAACAUAGUGAGACCUCGUCUCU